rnacentral:lncRNA from 1 species
AGAAAUUCCAACCCAGAGGGUCAGGACGGGCUCCAGGACCUCUUGAAUCACAUCUGAAACAUGUUCCCCCUGCUCCUUUCUCCUCCCUGUUCUUACAACUGGCCAACUGGGAUUAUACAACUUGCACUAAUUUUAUCCCACAUGCGGCUGUUUCUUAUUAGGAGCCUGUACCUUUUUUUUUUUUUUCCCCUGUGCCGUGUCAUCUCUCUUCAAUCAGGUGAGUAACUCCACUUCUUAACAGGGAGAUUCUGUUCAUUUUCUUGGCUGGACUCAAGAAAUGUGCACUUAACUUUUUCUUAAAGUGUGAACGUUCAUGUUUUUAACCCCGUCAUCUGCCUUUCUCUCGCCUAAGUCUUGCUUUCCCCAUUCUGAAAAGCUCUACUCAACCAGCAACCAACGGAAAAGUGAACAUUGGGUGUCAAUCAACAGAAUGAUUU